GAGCAAAAAAAAAAAAAAGAACAUAUAGAGAGAUCCAGAUAUUAGGAAUAGGAAUAUAUCAGUAAACCCAUUGCUUUUGUUAGCUAACAGAAAGGUAUAGUUCUAAGAAAUCCUGUGUUCUACAGUCAUAGCUGCCAGACUUUGCUGUUUGAAGUCACAUCAGUAAGAAGCGAAUAUCCUAUUGACUGGAGUGGGCUUGGUCACUGUAACACAGAGAAGCAGUUGCAAUAUUCAACCCAGAGGCAGAGUUUCAGGUGGAAGACAUUAACUGCGUGCCUGCAUGCUGACCACAAGCACGCAGACCACAGACCAGUUGCGACCAGAAGAUUCCCAGAAUAUCACCUGUUACCUUACCAUCAACCAAAGAAUUGAGCCUGAGCUCAUCAUUGACUCUGCACCCUCUCCCUCACUUUGACUCUAAAAAACCCUUUCCUAAAAACCAUUGGGGAGUUCAGAUCUUUUGAGCAUGAGCUUCCUAUUCCCCUUGCAUGGCGCCAUAUUGGAUUCCUUGCAAUAAACUCUGUACCUCCUUCACCACCACCCAGGGUCAACAGAUGGGCUUUACGGUGCAUGGGUGAGCAGAUCCAAGACUGGUUUUGUAACAGUCUGGGUGCUUACUAUGUGCCAGGCAGUUUAUAGAAACAAAGCUAUUUCAUUUAUCCAGCCAUCUACAUGGCUAAGUAUUAAUUUUCCCAUUUUACAGAUAAAGAAACCCAAGGGCCAGAAAACCUAAAAGUUAUACUGAUGCUGAAGUUUUUGCUUUAAGUGAGUAUCUGUCUUUUAGAAUUCUUAUCAUAAAGCCAAUUCUCUUCUAAUUUAUUUUGAUUCAAUAGAGAGAAAUCUAGUACCAGCUGUAUUCUAAAUAUGGAGCUCAAACCUGGGAACCAGAGCAAAUAAAUUCACAGGUGGCCAGAGAAGAUAAUCUUAAUGCAAUGCCUGAGGGGGAGGGAAGUAAGCACAGGAUGCUAUUGGCACACGUUAGGGGGCACCUAACCUAGCUUGUGUGUGUGUGUGUUUGCGCUCGUGUGUGCAUGCAUGUUCAUGUGCGUAUGUGCCUGUGUGUUUGUGUGGUGGAGGGCUUAGGACAGGGCUAUUGGGGAGGAUCAAGCUGAAUCUUGGAAGCGACUCAGGGUUGAGUAGGUGAAGAGGGUAGAGGGAAGGGGUGGGCGAAAGGAUAUUCCAGAUAAAUGAAGACCAUGACAAAAGCACAGACAUGGAACUUGGUGGUUUAUACCCGUUAUUGAGAGAAGGUCAGUGUGGCUUAAAGCAGAACUCAGUAGGGGUGUCGAGACAUGACCCUGGAGGUGUGGGCAAAAGCCAGGCCACAGAGGACCUGAUGUGCUCAGAUUUCCUACCCAUGUGAAUGAUCCCAGGAUAGCCUCCUGGUCCUGUACCACCUCCCAAGCCUGAUGCCAAGAUGCUUAGCUCCCCCCUCUGUCCCUCUCCCGUCUCCCUCGUGCUCCCCAUCUCUCUCUUUUCAUCGUCUGCUCAUCUGUGAACACUAACAGCCAUGCACUGAAGAAUGAAUCGGGUAGCAAGGGGGUUUACAGGAAAAAUCAGUUUAUUGAAAACAAGUGAGCAGCAUAUUAUAGAAGAUGAAGGGGGGGAGGUCACGUGGUCUCUGGAAUCCAGGAUGGCUUUGCAACAUCGCCCACUCCUGGGACUUUUAAAGAUGGAUUUAUGAUCCUUGAUGUCUUCUGUUGAUGAAGACACCUGGGAAUUUGACUCAGACUGAUGGUGGACAUCUAUUUAUGCACCCGGACGGUAAGAUGUAAAAAUGACUAGUUUUCUUCCAACCUGAAUAAAAUGCAGAAUAGA